UAUCUGAUAUAAGCCUAUGUUACAUAAAUAUGUAACUAUGAUUGCUUGAGAAUGAUUGAUUGAAAUCAUUCUGAUUCAAACAUUAUCAAUUGCUUCCAAACAAUCGCCGUUUUUUCUAGCGCCUCUCAUCUUGUUGAUUGUUACCAAAAUCGUCUUCAACAAAGUCUUCUGUUGACAAAUUCUCACCGGAAGGCAAAUCCAACUCAUGGAGCAAUUUCUCGAAAGCAAAUAGAAGAAUCGAACAGAGAACGAAGUGGUAGGUCGAGAAGACGGCGGAAAGGAAAGGAGAAAAGGAUUCACGCGAUGCAUGAUGACCGUCGGUGCACAGAGGAAAAGAACGAACGAAAAGAAGAGGAAAAAGAAAGGGAAAGACAGAGGAGUAAGAGGAGGUUGCACCGAGGACGCUCCCAUACCAUGAAAAAUCAGGUACACACCAAUGUGGCCCUCCAUGACGGCGAUGUCAGAGGCUUUACUUGCCCUUGGCUGUUGCCAAGUGCAUUGGCAAGACGGCGAUGCAGCAUCUCUACAGACCUCUCGUGGCUCUUUUUCUUAUUGCAUACCCCACCGUGGCGACCCUCAGCGGACAGACGGAGAGCUUUGCCUUCGCUACGUGUAGGCGUAUGUACUGUGCAGGGCCGUGCCGUUAUGAAUUUGAACCUUCGAAAUUUAAACGAGUCGGAGAAACUUGAUCGCUAGUCCCUUAGAGGCUUAUGAUGUUAUUAUUCACGCUAAUAAUGAAUCUAUAGCUUACAAUAUUGGAGACAUCUGGUGAUCAAAAAAGGAAGCUUAUGGUAUUUUUUACUAAUAGAAGUGGCUGGCUAUGGCAUCCCAUCGAAGCCCAGUCCCAAGUUGUUCAGCAUUGCUCACUAACUGUUUUAAUACAGCAUCCUGAAAUCCAUUUGAAACAGAACAUAAAAUGAUGAAGACGGGAAAUCACGGAUGGCUGACCAUCCGACCUGUGCGUGUUUCUUCCUCUUCUUUGUCAAAGAAACUAUCGCGUACUCGUUACCCCUUUGUUCUUCACCCUUGCCCUAAACCGCCAACCAAGAGGCAAUCUUGACCACAGUCUGGCCAGUGUCAGUUUUUGUGGUUGCUAGUGGUUUAUUCGUCUUCUUUGUCUUCAAGGAUUUCCUGUCGUUAUUCAUUCUCACCCUCUCUUCCUUUCACUAUUUUCUAAUUUUUUCUCUUUUAAUCAAACUUAA